UUUCCCCGCGGUUCGGUCAACCAAGAAAGUUGGGAUCUAAUUCCCAACUUGACAUGAUUUGUCUACGUGAUUGAUUACGCUGUUGAAAACUUGGCGGUGAUCAUCACGUCUUGCCGGGACCUCCAUCAUUGAAGACGCAACACCUUUUCAACUAGUUUAAAGGUCGUGGGGGUCCACCCACCGAAUGGGGUCCCCCCACGCUUUUUUCCAACCAACCGGUUGAUAUAUAAUAUUAAUAUGGUUAAAAAGUUUGACCAACAUUCAUAAUAAUUUCCAUGCGGCGCAUGAUCAAUGGAUGGUCCACGGAUUUCGAAUGAAUCGAUUAAUGUUGAAUGUAUUAGAUCUUAGCUAGAUUGCUUUCAUAUAUGUAGACAGAAAAAUAAAAGAAAAUGGAAGAAAUCAGUAUAGUUGGGAUGAGAAUUGGUGCAUGCGCGCAUUGGUGGCUUUGAAUCAUUCCAACACAAAAAGCCAACGUGGGAACAGAAGAAAGACAACACUGGAGGGGGGGAAGGAAGGUGGAUAUAUACAUGCAGCAAUUAAGAUCCCGACCUCCAGAGUUGUAUGGAGA